UCCCUACGGGCGGCUGCAGUGGGGAAUAUUGGGCAAUGGGGGCAACCCUGACCCAGCGACGCCGCGUGAGGGAAGACGGCCUUCGGGUUGUAAACCUCUUUUGUACGGGAAGAAGGAAGUGACGGUACUGUACGAAUAAGUCCCGGCUAACUACGUGCCAGCAGCCGCGGUAAUACGUAGGGGACGAGCGUUGUCCGGAAUUACUGGGCGUAAAGGGCGCGCAGGCUGUGCUGCAAGUCAGCUGUGAAAUAUCUGGGCUUAACCUGGAUAUGCGGUUGAGACUGCAGUGCUGGAGUGCUGUAGAGGCAAGUGGAAUUCCCAGUGUAGCGGUGAAAUGCGUAGAUAUUGGGAAGAACACCGGUGGCGAAGGCGACUUGCUGGGCAGCAACUGACGCUGAGGCGCGAAAGCCAGGGGAGCAAACGGGAUUAGAUACCCGUGUAGUC
rnacentral:rRNA from 1 species